UAUAAUAUUAUUAGUAUAGUUAACUCAAUAAAUGCUUCCCUUACAUUCAUCUUUAAAACUUGGACUAAGAAAACCGACACAGUGAUAAUGACUGUUUGCUACACUAAGUCACAAAGGAAUGGCGGCCAGUGAGCACAGUGGCCCCAGGCACAUAUGCCGCUCUUUCUCCACCAAUGAUGACAUUACGUAAGUGUAUUGAGCCCAGGAGCAACGGCCCACAUGCCUGCUUUACUGUGCCACAGUGGGGCUUGGAUGGCUUUCUGUGGCAAGAGGAAGUGGAGAAAGAGGGGGAGAACGUAUCAGGCGCUUGAGCCUGAAGAGACAGAUGCAUACAGCUUUAAAUAGAUCUAAUCCCACCCCCGUCCUUGCACAUUCAUUCGGCCACUUUUCCUGCCACUGGGUCUCUGACAGAGCUCGUCGAGGUAUCAGGCAUCUACAGCUCUUCUUCAAUCAGCUGCAGUAAGCGAGCGAGUGGGUGGGUAGGAGGCUUUAGCUGGAUGCUGGCCCGUCUGUGGCCAUGCACAGCUGUGUAUGCACAGCGGGUAGAAGGCAUACGUGUGAGGCGAAUGCUGAGGGGGAUCUGAGCAGAGGGGAAUUUUUUAAAUGAAAGACAAACCACGGGGUCUGGUCAGAACAAGGGCACGUUAAUGACCUUGGUGGAGAUAAAUCUUGUCCCUAGCUUUUUUUAGAAAUGCUGUUUAUACAAAACCCCCAUUCUGAGAUAAGAAGACAAGGUUACUGGAAAGCUGCACGCUAAUAUUCCCUAAACACUGCCUUGAGACCAGUGGUUAACAGCGUACAAAUCAACAUUUGCUCAUCCAGUCGCUGUCUGCCUUCACCUGUCCAUCACAACAAACCCACCACUGUUCUUUCCCCUCCCUCCAUCUCUGCUUUUUACAUUCAUAUCCUCCCUCACAAGCAGCCGUCUCCUCCUCCUAUUGUCCCACUGUCUUUUGUUGUCCCCCGUCAACAAUAGAACACUUGAGGCCGUGUGUGUGUAUGUGUUUGCGCAUGACAAUGAGUCUUCAUUUCCUCCAGACUGGCUGCUUGGGUAUAAUAGGUCUUGUGUAACUGGCCGUGUAUGUGUGUACGCAGACUUAGCGCACUGCCUCUUUAAGUCAGGAGUGUGACAGCUUGCAGCUAUGCUCGAUCCCUGCCCCCUGCUAUUACUGCAACACACGGCUGUUUGUUAUCACACACAUGCACUUUGAGAGCGUUGCCUAAUGCACACAAAAGAACUUGUGUGGGGGCACUGCAGGUCUAGAAAUCUUCUACAGGUGAUCACUGCAUUGACCGAAAAGGACAUUUUACACAGCAAAAUGAGGCAAAGUCAAAAUAUGCCAUGGAAAAAUUUAUAAUAUUGAAUGCCUCAAAGGUAAGUAAUUAGGUUGCUUAUCAAGGUUUACACUCUUCACAUAGAGGCAGACUGAUAAAACUAAACACUUUCAGUGAUUUGAGCUAGUAUUUAAUUAUGUGUUUUUUGAUGCAAAUAUUAAUGUUAUAUUUUAUAUAUGUGCCAUAUGUGGUAUCGAUUGAUGAACUAAUUACUAUAAAAACUAAUAGGUGUAAGUAACUGGACUGUUGGUUAGCUCUUGUAGCUAGCUAGCUAGCUUUAACCUCACUUAAGCCACUCUGAAAUAAGGUUACAUUAAGAUUUUAACCACCAGGACCUCAUCCAACCACUAUUGUAUAAUUUUUUAAUAGCGUAUUCAUGUUGCAAUUGGACUGAUUAGGAUACAUCCCCCAGUUGUAUAAGUUGACCCAAAAGAGGUUUUGGUUGUAUGAUAAACAUUUCCAACAUUUCCUAAUGAUACAUUAUAGUUGUGUGACAAGGCUGAUCAAACCUAGUUUUAGAGAACUUAACCAGUGUUUUGCCAAUUUUUGAAAUUUGGCUGAAGAUCUACAAGCUACAGUAGAGACUGUCAUUUUGAGCCUGGAGACAGAGCCGCAACUCAUUCAUACUGAUAAUUUACAAGGCAUGUGAUCAUGAAAGUAGGGGAUUUUCCUUCACUGCAGGAAAGGGUUGGACUCCACCUUUUGCCAUCCAUCCUCAGAGAAAAGCUUAACACUAUCUUCAUGGUAAAGUACUUCAUCUGGAUCAUUCAACACAACUGACUGGUAGAUACUUACUAGUAGUCCUUGUCAGGGUUGCAGGUCUGCUAGAGACUACCCAUUCCCAAGCUGUCACUCAGGCGGGAGGUGGGGUUCACCCAGCCAGUCGAUCACAGGAGACAGACAAACCACUCACACCUAUGGGCAAUUUGGAAAUCUCCACUCAACCUAAUUGCGUUUGUUUGGAGCAUCUGGAGAGCCUGCUUGCUUUCAGGCAACAGUGCAAACAGUUGGUUUAUCAGUCAGCAUUUAGCUAGGUUUUAUAGACGGAUGUAUGAUAAUCGACACAGAAAACUUGAAAUUUCAUUUCUUGAAACACUCAGAGGCUAUUGAAAACCCAAAUUUUAAAAAGCACAGCUUAUAUUUUCUGUUAUUGGUUAAAUGUAUCAGUUUUUGCAUUUCUGUAUAAAUGAUUUUCUGGGGGCCUGCCUGUGUUGCGCAGUGGUUAGAGUGGUGCGCUGCUGACUCCUAGUUUUGUAGCUUGAAUCUUGCCAAACAACCAUGCAAAUUAUUCGUUAAGGUUAACACAUUGUAAAAAAUGUUUUACUGAGCCACUCUUUUUUUUCUCUCUAUAUGUUACUAUAUAUUAGCAGGUUGAAUAUAAUGUGACCAUUGGAUUUCAUUUUUCUUUGUUAAAGCUGUCAUGUCGUAUUUUACUGCUUUAGAAUUAAUCACGUCAGUGUGCUUUGGCAAGACUGUAUGAUUUUUCCCCACUGGCUCAUAUGCUUUAUUCCCGAGUAAUGAGUAACAUGGUAACCACGUAUGAAUGACAGAAUGUGUCAUUGCUGCCAUUCAUCUCUCUGCUCCAGCCGAACUCCGUCAACACUCACUGACACAUGUCUGGACCCAGUAUUUUAAGCUACUGUGCCUUUACUACUGUGUCAGUCCUGCUUUUCUCUGCCUCAUAAUCGCAAUCAGUUCAGCCAGUUCAGUAAAUUGCAAUUAGAGGUGUUUAGAACAUAAAUAAAGACUCUCUAAAACUAAAACUAUGCCUGUGACUGUACAGCAUACGCAGCGCAUGGCUUUCUGAUUGGUCAUCAGCCGGUUGAAUGAGCACAAGUUUGGAAAAACCUUAAAAUCAAUAUUAUUUCAUACUUGUGUUUUUACUGCACCUUUUAUACAGGUUAAUACAGUUUGAUCCACUUUAUAGAUGAACAUGAGAAUAAUAACAAUUAAAAAUAAUAAACGACUAUAUUAAAAUAGUAAAUGAGAAUCUGUGCAUUACUUUUCAGUUAGUUUACUUUAGCGUACUUGAACCUUUAUAAUAAUUAUUAUUAUAAAUUAUUAAAAGAUCAAAAAAAUGUAGUAGCCACAAAAUAUUUUCUAGGUCAGACUAUGUCAUAAAACUUCAAGUAAUUAAAUACUCUGUCAGGCUUGUCUGUCCAGACUAAAACAAGUUGGACAAAUAAAGAAAUGAAACCUGCAUUUGUUUAUUUUUUUAUUUAUCUCUAAAUAAAGCAUGGACUAUAGGUAUAGUAAAUCAUUUUCUUUUUGCUUCAUUUCUGUGACUGCUUGGUUUUAAGUUUGUGGAUACGCUGAUAUGAAAUUGUGUUUUACAGUGGGCCCAGCUAAAUAUAGACUCAAUCAAAAGGAUCACAGUUUGUCAGUAGAAUCAAAACGCCCUGUUCCAGAACACAAUCAAGCCUCCUCCAUGUAUCAUAGGAGCCACUGUAUCUACUGGACAGUACCACUGUAUCCUUCAUAUUUACUUCUGUGAACACAAAGCUGAUGUGAUUUGGGAAAAUCUUCCUGUUUGUUUUACUUGUUUUUUUGCAAGUUCUUUCCAACUCUAGGAUGUCCACCGUGGUUCAUGUGUCAUAGUUAUAGUAUCAGACUAUAGCACGCACUGAUAUAGUCAUGUACCUGGACACCGAGUUUCACCUCUGAUCUUUUUGAAAGUGAUUCUGCAGUCCUGUGUAGAAACAAACUGCUUGGAGUUGGUCUCAGUCUUAUCCUUCAAGCACAGCCUUCAAGUCUGCGAUUCUAAUCUGACCACUGUCUCAAGUUAUUUUCAGUCAAAUUUCCAAAAUGCUUCUGUUAAACCAGAUUUCUCAUGUAAUGUCUUGCUAAUUUAGUACAUUUGUAUAAAUAUGUGUGUACAUAUGUUUAAAAAUGUAGCCACAUUACUGUAAGAUAAGAUAAGAUAAGAAAACUUCGACUAUUCUUUAAUAGUCCCACAAUGGGGGAAAUUUCAUCUCACAACAGCACAGUAUGAUACAAAGGAAGAAAAAUACAGCAGCAAACAAAAAUACAGAAACAGAUCAGUGAAACUGGGUUGAGUUGGCACAGUAUAUUACUAAACCUUGAUCAGAGUGUACAUAUAUGUACAUAUUGCACAGUUAUGCACAAAUAUUGCGCAAAUAUUGCACAGAGCGAAUGUCUGUAUUACCACUGAUGCAGUGGGUGGUUUAUCGGUUUUGGUGUGGAAGGUAGUUAACAUUGUUAACAUUGUUGAUUGUAUAGUCUGAUCGCAGCAGAUAGGAAGGAUCUACGAUAUCUCUCCUUCACACAGCGAGUACAGUAUGUACGUUUCCACAUUUUUGAAUCCAGCUUUAAAACCUUGAGGCAGAUCACAAAAAAUAGAUCAAUCAUCUGGGGACAAUGAAUGUCUGUACACAUUUCCAUCACUAACCAAUUAAAAACUAUAAACUGUUUCAAAAGCUG